CCGCCGGCGACCGGCGCACGGGUGAGUAACACGUAUGCAACCUGGCCGUGACAGAUGGAUAACCGGGAGAAAUCCCGCCUAAUACAACAUAAUGCCGGGAGGGGACAUCCCCUGCCGGCCAAAGGGGCGACCCCGGUCACGGAUGGGCAUGCGGCGCAUUAGGUAGUUGGUGGGGCAACGGCCCACCAAGCCGACGAUGCGUAGGGGUUCUGAGAGGAAGGUCCCCCACAUUGGAACUGAGACACGGUCCAAACUCCUACGGGAGGCAGCAG
rnacentral:rRNA from 1 species